rnacentral:rRNA from 1 species
AAAGCUCGCGGUUUUCCUGGCAUGCUUGGCUCAAUAGAUUGCAUGCAUUGGAGUUGGAAGAAUUGUUCAAAGGCAUGGCAUGGGCAAUUCCACGGCCAAACAAAGGGUUCCACUAUAAUCCUUAAAGCGGUGGCCGAUCAGGAGACUUGGAUAUGGCAUGCAUUCUUUGGAAUGCCUGGAUCUUCGAAUGACAUCAAUGUUGUUAACCGGUCACCACUGAUGAAUAAUAUUGCAAACGGUGAGUUGCCACCGGUGCAGUUUGUAGCAAAUGGCCGUACGUACAACUAUGACAAUUAUCUAGCGGAUGGCAUCUAUCCAAAGUGGCAAACCUUCGUG